AUACGUAGGGGGCGAGCGUUAUCCGGAAUUACUGGGCGUAAAGGGUGCGUAGGCGGCCCUGCAAGUCAGGAGUUAAAGGCUUCGGCUCAACCGAGGUAAGCUCUUGAAACUGUAGGGCUUGAGUGCAGGAGAGGAGAGCGGAAUUCCUAGUGUAGCGGUGAAAUGCGUAGAUAUUAGGAGGAACACCAGUGGCGAAGGCGGCUCUCUGGACUGUAACUGACGCUGAGGCACGAAAGCGUGGGGAGCAAACAGGAUUAGAUACCCUGGUAGUCCACGCCGUAAACGAUGAGUGCUAGGUGUUGGGGAUCUCCAUCCUCAGUGCCGAAGUUAACACAUUAAGCACUCCGCCUGGGGAGUACGGUCGCAAGACUGAA
rnacentral:rRNA from 1 species